rnacentral:rRNA from 1 species
UACGUAGGGGGCGAGCGUUGUCCGGAUUCAUUGGGCGUAAAGCGCGCGUAGGCGGCUUCGCAAGUCGGCCGUGAAAUCUCCGGGCUCAACUCGGAGGGGUCGGGCGAGACUGCGAGGCUCGAGGUGGGCAGAGGGCAGUGGAAUUCCGGGUGUAGUGGUGGAAUGCGUAGAGAUCUGGAAGAACACCAAAGGCGAAGGCAGCGUCCUGGGAAGCAUCUGACGCUCAGGUGCGAAAGCUAGGGGAGCGAACGGG